UAAGGGGCACGAAGGAAUCUACUGAAAUCAUUGUUGCACUAUAUGCUAACUAAUUUGGAUGUAAAUUAAAAUAAAUCAAAUUAAAAAAAUUUUUUUACAGUUAAUCAUAGUCUAGAGCAGUUGUAUUAUUUUGUUGUCUUCCCAACAGCAAGAGUUGGUUCCCAACCAUUGUGAUUUCAUUCCUCUUUGUUUCUGUCAUAACCAAUUACUAUACCCUCCUUUCAAUAUACCCAGUAGUUUUGGAUUACUCACAGCUUCUGCUUAAACACAUUUUCUGUUUACUCAAGAAUGUGCAUUCUCCUUGUCAUCACUUUUGCCUUUCUCUGUAUAUCUUCAACUUCUGUUUCACAACAACUGAGUAGACCUGUACGUGUCUCAGAUGCAGAUCUCCUCCUAGAAGAGGACCUGCUUGGUGUAAUUAACCUUCAGUGUCCCUGUUCAAGAGUGCUUUCCUGCCAUCCCGUCUUUUAUAUUACUGACCAGCCUUUAUGUAACUACUCUAGACCAAUCAUCUGGGACCAGAAGGGAACCCCAUUCAACAGUGGACUGGAUUAGACUGGCUUCUUCACAAGGCAGGAGACAUGGCUACAGGCCUCUCUGGGCUCAUAUCCUAACCACUUUAUAACCAGCAAGCAAAACUGAUGCUUUCAGGUUCUGUUUGAAAAAAUCCUAGGGGAAGGACUCCGUGACUUACACUGGCUCAUUACCCUUUCCUUAGGCCAGUCUCAGCUGUACAGAACAAAAGUGUGUAUUAGGACAUAAUGCCUUCAAUAAUCUGAGGGAGAAAUUAUUUGUCCUAGAAGUUUAUAACCAACCAAGCUAUCAGCCAUGUGUGAAUGCAAGGACUCAAAAAGUUUAUGUCUGCCAUGCACCUCUCAGGAACUGCUGGAUAAUGUACUCCAGAAGAACAAGAAAAAGGCACACAACUGAUAGAGUAAAUCCAAAAUAGAAAAACGUCAAAAGUACAUUCUAAGGCAAAGGGUGAGACUAACAUCUACUCGGGAGCCAUAUAAAGCAACCUAUGCUCUUCAUAUUUUCCCAAGAGUUGAAGAAAAAUUUUUAUUAGCAGAAGCUCUCUGGUUUCAUACCACAGAAGUCUUCCCAGCCUACUUUGUGGAAGUAGAUAAUCCAGCCUCCUUCUCCUGUUUCAGUUUUCAAAAAAGGUAAAAAUGUCUAUCACAAAUGGUAUAUCUCAAAAUUUUGUAUCUAAACUUGAAACUCUCAGGAAUACUCUUAGCCAUCUAGUCUCUCAGCACAAAAUGUGCUCUUGGACCACUUGGAUCGCUAUCAACUGGGGAGCUUACUACAAAUACACGUUUCUGGAACCUCCCAGAUUUACCGAAUCAGAAUUUCUAGAGAGGCCCAAGGAAUAGAAUUUCUUCUGUCAACCCAGAUGAUUCUUUUCUGAUACCAAUAGAAUUCUAAUUUAGCUGGCACAAAAACCAACACUCAGAUCAAUGGAACAGAAUAGAGAACCCAGAAAUGGACCCAGAAAAGUAUGGCCAACUAAUCUUUGACAAAGCAGGAAAGAAUAUCCGAUGGAAUAAAGACAGUCUCUUCACCAAGUGGUGCUGGGAAAACUGGACAGCAACAUGCAGAAAAAUGAACCUGGACCACUUUCUUACACCGUACACAAAAAUAAACUCAAAAUGGAUGAAAGACCUCAAUGUAAGACAGGAAGCCAUCAAAAUCCUCGAGGAGAAAGCAGGCAAAAACCUCUUUGAUCUUGCCCGCAGCAACUUCUUACUCAACAAGUCUCUGGAGGCAGGGAAACAAAAGCAAAAAUGAACUAUUGGGACCUCAUCAAAAUAAAAAGUUUCUACACAGCAAAGGAAACAAUCAGCAAAACUAAAAGGCAACCAACAAAAUGGGAGAAGAUAUUUGCAAACGACAUAUCAGAUAAAGGGUUAGUAUCCAAAAUCUAUAAAGAACUUACCAAACUCAACACCCAAAAAACAAAUAAUCCCAUGAAGUAAUGGGCAAAAGACAUGAAUAGACACUUCUCCAAAAAAGACAUCCAGAUGGCCAACCGACACAUGAAAAAAUGCUCAGCAUCACUCAUCAUCAGGGAAAUACAAAUCAAAACCACAAUGAGAUACCACCUCACACCUGUCAGAAGGGCUCACAUUAACACCUCAGGCAACAACAGAUGUUGACGAGGAUGCAGAGAAAGGGGAUCUCUUUUGCACUGCUGGUGGGAAUGCAAACUGGUGCAGCCACUCUGGAAAACAGUAUGGAGGUUCCUCAAAAAACUAAAAAUAGAACUACCCUACAGCCCAGCAAUUGCACUACUAGGCAUUUAUCCAAGGAACACAGGUGUGCUAUUUCAAAGGGACACAUGCACCCCCAUGUUUAUAGCAGCACUAUCAACAAUAGCCAAAGUAUGGAAAGAGCCCAAAUGUCCAUCGAUGGAUGAAUGGAUAAAGAAGAUGUGGUAUGUAUAGACAAUGGAGUCUUACUCAGCAAUCAAAAAGAAUGAAAUCUUGCCUUUUGCAACUACAUGGAUGGAACUAGAGGGUAUUACGCUAAGCGAAAUUAGUCAGAGAAAGACAAAUAUCAUAAGGCUUCACUCACACGAGGACUUUAAGAUACAAAACAGAUGAACAUAAGGGAAGGGAAGCAAAAAUAAUAUAAAAACAGGGAGGGGGACAAAACAUAAGAGACUCUUACAUAUGGAGAACA